GGGGCUAUUCUUGGUUUCUAUUGGGAGAAUUCGUCAGACUCCUAUUGCUAUCCGGGAGAUGUUUGUGACUUCCGAAAUCAACACAUUCAUCCUUAAACGGAACACGAAUUGCUAAAGGUCUUGCUGCUUUCAAAGCUUCAACUACUCCUUCACUAUCAUUUGCAUAGUGUAAAACGUGGCCUCUCUUAGGAGAUGAGUGCGAUUGCCUGCCACACCAUUUAUACAAACUUGCGUUUAGGAGACAUUGUAUGAAUUAUUUUAAUCUAAACCGUGAUUUGAGUAUUUUAAAAAUAUUUUAGCUCUCGUCUCGCAACUCAAAACGUUUCUCUCUUCAGCUUUGUCUGUUUUCUCGUUUGAAGGGGAGUAUCUAAAACAGACUAUGAUAGUAGACGUACGAGCUGGCCUCCCAAGACGUGGGUUCAAAUCCCACUAGCUCCACCA
rnacentral:tmRNA from 1 species